GAUGAACGCUGGCGGCGUGCCUAAUACAUGCAAGUCGAGCGAAUGGAUAAGAGCUUGCUCUUAUGAAGUUAGCGGCGGACGGGUGAGUAACACGUGGGUAACCUGCCCAUAAGACUGGGAUAACUCCGGGAAACCGGGGCUAAUACCGGAUAACAUUUUGAACCGCAUGGUUCGAAAUUGAAAGGCGGCUUCGGCUGUCACUUAUGGAUGGACCCGCGUCGCAUUAGCUAGUCGGUGAGGUAACGGCUCACCAAGGCAACGAUGCGUAGCCGACCUGAGAGGGGGAUCGGCCACACUGGGACUGAGACACGGCCCAGACUCCUACGGGAGGCAGCAGUAGGGAAUCUUCCGCAAUGGACGAAAGUCUGACGGAGCAACGCCGCGUGAGUGAUGAAGGCUUUCGGGUCGUAAAACUCUGUUGUUAGGGAAGAACAAGUGCUAGUUGAAUAAGCUGGCACCUUGACGGUACCUAACCAGAAAGCCACGGCUAACUACGUGCCAGCAGCCGCAGUAA
rnacentral:rRNA from 1 species